rnacentral:misc_RNA from 1 species
ACACCACGAGAGUUUGUAACACCCGAAGUCGGUGAGGUAACCUUUUUGGAGCCAGCCGCCGAAGGUGGGAUAGAUGAUUGGGGUGAAGUCGUAACAAGGUAGCCGUAUCGGAAGGUGCGGCUGGAUCACCUCCUUUCUAAGGAUAUUUUCGGAAUACAAACCUUGGGUUUGUAAGAUUACGUUUUGCGUUCAGUUUUGAAGGUUCAUUCUUCUGAAUGAAAUACUUCAAAACUUGUUCUUUGAAAACUGGAUAAAACGACAUUGAUAUAGUAACAAACACAUUUAUUUUU